rnacentral:lncRNA from 1 species
GUGGCUCACAUCUGUAUCCCAGUGCUUUGGGAGGCCGAGGCAGGAGGAUCGCUUGAGGCCAGGAGUUUGAGACCAGCCUGGGCAACAUAGUGAGAUCCUGUCUCUACAAAAAAAGAAAAAAGAAAUUUGUUUGAAUUAGCCAGCAUGGUGGCGUGCGCCCGUAGUCCUAGCUACCCAGGAGGCUGAGGCAAGAGGGUCACUUGAGCCUUGACAUUAGAGGUUAUAGUGGGCUAUGCUCAUACCACUGCACUCCAGCCCGAGUGACACAGAAGAGAGACCUUGUCUCUAAAAAAAAGAAAAGUGAUGAGAACAAACAUCCUUGCUACCAAUGUUAGGAAGUUUUCAGCAUUUCACUAUUAAUUAAUGAAGUUAGCUGCAGGAUUUUAGUGACUGUCCCAAUAUCAGAAGUUUAUUUCUGUUUAUAGUUUUUUCUAAGAGUUGGAGUUUUUUCACAACUUGAUAUGGACUUUUUUCAAAUGCCUUUUCCACAUCUAUUGAAGUAACUAUGUCAUUUCUUGUUAGCAUAGUAAUGUGGCGAAUUGCACUGAUUAACUAUUAAAUAUGAAAUCAACCUGGCAUUAUGGGGAUAAAUCCCACUUGGUUAUAACAUAUUAUUUUUCUACAUUGUUGGAUUGAAUCAUAUUUUAAAGAUUUUUUUUUGCAUCUAUGUUAAUGAACCAUCUUGGCCUAAAAUUUUCUGAUUUUGUAUUUUAUGUCAAGUUUUUGUGUUAAUAUUGUGUUGGCCUUAAGUCACAGAGUAUUUUUUUUUCUUCCUGUGUAUUCUGAAAGAGUUUGCAUAAGAUAGGUAAUAUUUCUUCCUUAACUGUUGUAUAGAAUUCAUCAGUGAAAUAAUCUAUACCUGGAGUUUUCUUUGUGAGGGCACUUUUAAAGCAACUCUAAUUUCUUUACUAUAUAUACCACUAUUCAGGUUUUCUGUUUUUUUCUUGUACUAGUUUUGGUAAGCUGUAUUUUUUCAUUUGUUCAUUCCAUCUAAGUUGUCAAAUGUGUUGACAUAAAGUUGUUUAUAAUCUUCCCAGGUUAUGAUUUUGAUACAGAGAGACUCUAUAACACUAUACCCUCUUUUAAACCUAAUACUGGUAAUUCGUGUUUCUUUCUUGUUAGAGAUUUAUUCAUUUUGUUAAACUUUUCAAAGAAUAAUAUUUUGCUUUCCUCAUUUCCUCCUGGUUUGUUUUCAAUUUCUUUGAUUUUUGCUCUUCAUUAUUUCCUUUCUUCUUAUUUUGGGUUUAAUUUCUUGUCUUUUUCUAGACUCUUAGGGUGGAAAUGAAAAUCAAUUAUUUUAAGGCUUUCUUCCUUUUGAAUGUAAGCAAUUAAAGCUAUGAAUGCUACAUCUAAGAACUGCUUUAGCUACAUCUCACAAAUUUUGAUAUGUGUUAUUUUCGCUGUCAUUAAGUUUGAAAUACUUCUCAUUUCCUUGUUAUUUCUUCCUAGAAUCACAGUUUAUUUAGAAGUUUAUUGUUUAAUUUCCAAAUAUCUGGGGACUUUCUACAUACUUUGCUGUUAUUCUCAUUUAAUCCCAUUGUGGCCAGAAAGCAUGCUCGAAGAUGCUCAGUAUUUUAUAAUUUGUUGAGACUUACUUUUGGCCCGAGGUCUGCUCUAUCUUGGUGAAAAUUCCACAUCAACUUGGGAAGAGCAUUUUGUCCUUGUUAGGUGUAGGUUUCUAUAGAUAUCAGUUCAUUAGAGGUGGCUUAUACUUCAGACCUUCUGGUUUUUUAAGCAUGUUAAAAGAUCCAGCUAGGACUGUGGAUUUGUUUGCUUCUCCCUUUUGUUCUUUCAGAUAUUAUAUUUUGAAUUGCUGUAUACACAUUUAUAUUUGUUAUGUCUUCCUGAUGUUCUGACCCUUUUCGACAUGAUGAACUAGUCCUCUCUGUUCUCAAUAAACCUCUUAUCUUGCAGCCUAUUUUGCUUGAUGUUAAUAUAGACACUCUAGGUUUCUAACGGUUGAUGGUUCCAUGUGUAGUGGGUUAAAUAGUGCUCCUCCAUAAUUCACUUCCACCUGGAACCUCAGAAUGUGACCUUAUUUGUAAAUCAUAUUUGUAGAUUGUAAUUAAAGUAAGGAUCAAAAUGAGAUCACAUUGGAUUAGGAUGAGCUCCACAUCCAAUAAGACUGAACUUAUAAGGACACACAGGGACAGAAGAAAGAAGGCCAUGAAAAGACAAAGCAGAGAUUGGAGUGAUGCUGCCACAAGCCAAGAAGGGCUAGGAGCCACCAGAGGCUGAAAGAGGCCAAGAAGUAUCCUCCUCUAGAGGUUUCAGAGGGAUGUGGCCUUGCCAACACCUUGACUUUGCCUUCUGGUGUCUAGAACUGUGAGAUAAUGAAUUUCUGUUGUUUUAACCUUCUCAGCUUUUAAUUUCUGACCACAGCCCUAGGAAAUUAAUACAGCAUAUACCUUAGUAAGUUUAUGCUACAACAUAAUAUCACGGACUGAGUGACUUAACAAUUUAUUUUACCUCAGUUCUAGAAGCUGCCAGUCCAAGAUCAGAAUGCCAGGUGGCUGUCCUCUGGUGGGGUCCUCUUCCUGGUGAGUAGAUGGCCACCUCACUGUGCCCUCACAUGGCAGGAACAGUGUAAGCAAGCUCUCUGGUGUCUCUUCUUAUAAGGGCACUUAUCCUAUCACAGGGCCCCACCCGCAGGACUUCACCUAAACCUAAUUACCUCCCAAAGGCUCCAUCUCCACAAACCAUCACACUGGGGGCUAGGACUUCAACAUAUGAAUUUGAAAGAGACACAUUCAGUCCAUAAUACCAUGGUAUAUAUUUUCAUUCUUUUUACUACUAACCUACUUGUGUCUGUAUUUAAGGUGUGUUCCUUAUAAACAGCACUGAGUUGGGUCUUUUCUUUUUAAUGCACUCUGACAUUCUCUGGUCCUUUAUUUUGGGGGCGGCAGCAGUUAGUCCACUUAUAUUUAAUUAUAGUUGAAUUUAAAUCUGCCACUUUGAUAUUUGUUUCCUAUUGAGUUCAUUUGUUUGUUUCCCUCUGCUCCUCCUUUCUUUGGGUGUAAUUGAAGCUUUUUGGUAUUUCAGUUUUAUUUCCCCAUUGGCUUUUAAGACACACUACUUUGCAUUAUUUUUUAGUGGUUGCUGUAAGGCUGCAUUUUACCAAAUGAUAGCUACUAACUAAUGUGGCUAUUUAAAUUUAAAAUUUAAGCUAAUUAAAAUUAUACAAAAUUAAAAUUUAGUUCCUUAGUCACAAAACCCACAUUGCAAGUGUUCAAUGAAUAUGUGUGACUAGCGGCUAUCUUAUAUAUGACAAAGCAGUUAUAGACUAUUUCUAACACUGCAAAAAGUUGUAUUGGUGAUUUAUCACAAUCUACUUACAGUUAAUAUACUAUUUAACACAAAAUAUUGGGAUUUUGUGAGCAUAUAAUUCCUUUACCCCCAUCUUUUGCAAUGCUUUCAUAUAUUUCGCAUAUAUUUCAUCUAUAUACAUCAUAAGCCCACAAUACUAAUAUUUUUUCUUGAAGAGAAAUAUGAUUUUUUAAGUUUAAAAGGAAAGAAUAUGGCUAGGUGCGGUGGCUCAGGCCUGUAAUCCCAGCACUUUGGGAGGCCGAGGCGGGUGGAUCACAAGCUCAGGAGAUCGAGACCAUCCUGGCUAACAUGGUGAAACCCGUCUCUACUAAAAAAUACAAAAAAUUAGCCGGGCGUGGUGGCGGGCGCCUGUAGUCCCAGCUACUCGGUAGGCUGAGGCAGGAGAAUGGCGUGAACCCGGGAGGCGGAGCUUGCAGUGAGCCAAGAUCUCACCACUGCACUCCAGCCUGGAUGACAGAGCGAGAUUCCGUCUCAAAAAAAAAAAAAAAAAAAAAGGAAAGAAUACAUAUAGUUUUUAUAUUUACCCACAUAUUUACCAUUUCUGCUGAUCUUUAUUUUUCCCCUAAUCUGAUACCAUCUUUUGACAUAUAUCCCCUAAAGAGCUCCAUUUAUCAUUUUUCAUAGUGUGGGUCAACUGAAGACAAAUUCUCUCAGAUUUUUAUCUUAUUUUUUACCUUUAUUAUUGAAAUAUAACUUUGCAGCAUGUAAAAUUCUAGGUUAAUCGUUGUUUUUCAGCAGUUCAACUGUGUCGUUCUAGUGCCUUUUGGCCUUUAUUGUUUCCAGUAAAAAGCUAACAUUAUUCAUAUGUUGUUUAUCACACAUAAUGUCUCUUUUUUCUUCAGCUGCUUUUAUAAUUUUCUCUUCAUAUUUGGAGUUCAGCAAUGUUACUAUAUGUACAUAGGUCUGAUUUUCUAUGUAUUGGUCCUGCCUGUGGUUCAUUGGGUUUCUUGGAUUUAUAAAUUGUCUUUUACCAAGUAUCAGAAAUUUGAAGCCACUAUUUCUUCCAAAAUUUUCUUUUUCCUCACUUCCUAAGACUCUGCACUUAUAUUAGACGAGAUUAUAUUGACCAACAGGUCUCUGAAGAUCUGUAUGUUUUUCUUCCACUGCUUUUCUUCCAUCUUUUUUCAGAUAGGAUCAUUUCUAUUGAUCUAUUUUGUAGUUCCUCAAUUUAUUCUGUCUUCAGUCUGCUGUUAGGCACCUCCAGUGAAUUUUUCCUUCAGUUAUAGUAAUUUUCAAUUUCAGUAUUUCCAUUUAUUUCUUGUUAUGCUUCAAUUUCUUGCUGAGAUUCUCCAUUUGCUCAUUUAUUAUGUGUAUCUCUUCUUUUAAAUAUGUGAACAUAUUUAUAAUAGCUGCUUUAAAAUCCUUGUCUGCUGAUUGUUACGGUUGAGUCAUCUAGGCAUCAAUUUACAUCAAAUUUUGUGGGUCAUAUUUUCCUGUUUCUGUGCAUGUCUAGUGUGCUUUUUGUUUGACACUGGACAUUAUGAAUGAUAUGUUGUAGAGACUUGGAGUUCUGUUUUAUUUCUCUAAUGAAUGAUUUUUGUUUUCUUAUUAUAAAAAGUUCACUUGGCUUGACUCAGACUCCAAACUCUGUCUCCCCUAAAGUGAGAAGCACCUGAAAUCUUUGUUCUUUUAGCUUUUCUAGUAUUUUGUCAGGCCACUGAGGUCUCCCCCAUCCAUUGUUGUUCAGUGAUCUGCCAAAGAUUUGAGUAGAUUUGAUAUACAAAUGUGAGGGGGUCACACCUCUGAAGUUUCUUUCCUUCUAGGAUUUCACUGCUAAUGGUCUGGUUUUUCUCCCAGCUCCAAAUUGUAUUCUGUGACAUUUCAAGUCAGAAAGUACAGCCAGCUUCAUGGGCCUGUGACCUGCAAAUUCAUACAAGGGCCACACACAUGGUUUAAUGUUCUGCUAUCACUGUCUUGAAAUUAUUAUUCAAUGAGGGGCCACAUUUUAACUGACGUACUUAAGUAUAAAAAUCCACUCUAGGCCUGGUGUGGUGGCUCACGCCUAUAAUCCCAACACUUUGGGAGGCCAAGGUGGGAGGAUCCCUUGAGCCUAGGCGUUUCAGAUCAGCCUAGACAACAUAGUGAAAACUCGUCUUUACUCAAAAUAAAAAUUAAAAAAAUUAGCCAGGCCUGAUGGUGCACACCUGUAAUCCUGGCUAUUCUGGAAGCUGAGGCAGGAGGAUUACUUGAGCCCAGGAGUUCUAUAUUGCAGUGAGCUAUGAUCAUGCCACUGCAUUCCAGCCUGGGUGACAGAGAGAGAUCCUGUCUUAAAAAAAAAAAUCCAUAAAAUAUUUGUUUUCAUUUUCAGCUGACUUUAGUAUACAAAAUAUUAUCCUUCUUGUAUGAUAUUGAUAAAGUUUAGCUAAUAAGUUAUAAUAGAAAAGCAAUUGCUGUAAGUCUCUUGGGUCUCAGUUUCUUCAAAAGCCUUUCCUGCCUCACACACUACUCUUCCCCAUCUCGAUUUAAACAGGACCUUCCUUUAUACUCUGAGAAUCCUGUUUUUUCCCUUCAUGGCAUUAGCGUAAUUUACAAUUAAUAUAUUUACCUGUGUUUUUAUGAUUGAGUAUAUUUCUACCUCAUUAGUCUAUAAAUUCCAUGAGGACCCCUGUCUUUGCCUCACCCAGCACCAACAAGAAUGCCUAGGGUACUGUAGGCACUUAAUUAAAUGGAUGAAUGGAUAAAUGGAUAGAUGGAUGAGUGAAUGAAUAGCGAAAAUGACAGUGAUAUUUAGUAACUUUUUCUAUUUUCCCAAGUUAGAUUUUCUAUAGUCCUCCUUUCUUUUGCUCAAAUAUCUAAAAGUAUGCCAUAAUUUUAGCAAAAUUUGGGGAACAAUGUUAGGUCAAAAGUAGUACAUGUAUGCACAUUUGUUAUCAGUAGGACCCCCAAAAGAAAUGUGAAUGCCGGAUCUCCAACUUCUUGAUUUAAAAAUGUAAUCCAGGCCCGGCGCGCUGGCUCACGCCUGUAAUCCCAGCACUUUGGGAGGCAAGGUGGGUGGAUCCCUCGAGGUCAGGAGUUCGAGACCAGCAGCCUGGCCAACAUGGUGAAACCGUCUCUACUAAAAAUUCAAAAAAAAAAAGAAAAAAAGAAAAAUUAGCUGGGAGUGGUGGUGGGUGCCUGCAGUCCCAGCUACUCGGGAGGCUGAGGCAGUAGAACCACUGGAACCGGGGAGGCGGAGGUUGCAGUGAGCCGUGAUUGCACCACUGCACUCUAGCCUGGGCAACAGAGCCAGACUGUUUCAAAAAGAAAAAAUGUAAUCCAAUGUAGUAUUUACAUCUAGUGCCAACGGGUACAGUGCACACUGUGCUGCAUGCUGUGUUUCAUUAAGCAGCCUAAUCUGGUGUGUUAAUGAGAGAUGUAUUUAACUAUCAGCUAUAAUAUUCCAUGUCAUUUUCCAAGGAACACAUCUUACAGCAGGUUUUUCACAAGCUAUAUUGAAAUGUUCACCUGUUGCAGAAGCUCUAUAAGAUGCUAUGCAUUCAGCGGGAAAUAACCGAAGACAUAGCACCUCUGGCAGGCUUGUUUCUCAGCGUCAUGGAGAGAGCGCACCCAGUCUGAAGGCGCAUCUGCUCCUCUCUGCCCUAUAUUGUGGAUUAAGAAAAUACAGUGUAUAAUCUCAUAUUCUCAUUUCAGCAAAUAUAAAUAGUACAUGGCAAUUAUAUGUGCUCGGUUUUCAUUUUUAAGGGUGGAGAUUGUUGAAAAUGGUGUCGUGGACCAGACUCCAGAAUUGGAGAUUUUGUAGAGAUCAAAGGUAUAGUACUAUUAAAGUAGGGAUAAAGAGUGUGCAGACGUGGGUGUAAGAUAAUGAACAGAAAAGGGAGUGGCAAGGUGCAGAGAUCUCUGCAAGAAAUGG